GGAAGCCAAGGCAAUGGCAUGACGGGAUGGUUUAGACGAGGACUUAGCAAACCUACUGCCCACAGGCCAAGUCUGGUUUGUCUCCUGUUUCAGUAAAUAAAGUUUCGUUGGAACACAGCCACACCCAUUAGUUUAUUUAUUGUUGCGUUGCGGAGUUACGAGUAUACUGUAUGGCUUUCAAUACCACCUGACCUUUAAGAGAAAAAGUUUGCCGACCCCUUGGCUGAGAUUACAAACUCCUGAAAAACAAGGACAGUGUCCAUACAUCUCCUGUUUCCUCACAGGGCCUGCCUGGUAGAAGAGCAGGUGCAGAGCAGGGAUUUGAGAUCUAUGGUGGAAGAAACGAUUCUAAGUCUGGAAUAAACCUUCCUGCUUCAAGAAUGACUUCUUUCACAGACUCCUGGGAACAUAACGCCUUGCGUUACAGAAACAACUUCAGGGGUUAAAGAAGUACAGGGUGCAAAUUGGUCUCUGUCAUUUGUAACGAGAGAGAUAAUCUUGUUGCCAUAGUUACUACAGAUGACCAGAUCGACCGUCUGCUGUAUAUAUAAUCUGGGCACCCCGGCCUCCUACUCUGUACUGCAAGGAAGGGUCCUGAGCCUCCAAUACACAUUGUGUCAGGCUGGAUCUGAGGAGACUUGGAGCCUGAGUGCCUUUCUUAGGUGGAGUUCUUCCAGGAGUGACCCUAUGCAAAGGAUUCGCACGAAAGUGAUUUGUUAAAGGCAGUGCUCUGCAGAAGAAUGAGAUAGAAGAAAGUGGAGGAAGCAGAGUAAGCAAAACACAAAUGGCAAAAAACAAAACAAAACAAUGAAAGAAGAACCGAGGUGCAAUUUCAGAUGAAGUCCGAGCCUUAGCCUGAUCCUACGGGGAUCUUUGGAGUCUGAAUUACAUUUCACGUUCAAGAAGCGACUUUGCGGUCCUAAAGGUGGUGGCUCUUCCAAGUAAGCCAAGAGUCAAGGGAGCUAGACCUUUGUAUCCUCUUACCCUUUCCUUCUCAGCAGGCAGCAUCAGAGUAUGGAGGCCCUGGAGGUACAAAAACUCUCAGGCACUUUAGGCUCUCCGGGUAGCGAAGCCACACCAGCAGCUCCCGGGUUAAGUUUACAGCAAAGAGCCCUUAGCAUCAAAGGGCACAGAAACUGGAUGGUGCAUACAGAACUUUGGUAAAGGGGGAUGCGAGAGGAUCUGGAGAGAGGACUAACGCUAUUUGCUAUAGGCCAGACUGGAUGUCUUCUCCACCAAUGCUUCCACGUGGUUUGGGAUUACAUGCCAUUUUGGAUUCUACGUGUCAUUUUUAUGAUAUGGGCCCUCCCAGAGCGAAGAGCCCUCAUCUUCCUGAUCCAUCCUCAAAUUAGAGCUUCUCAUUCACUCCUUCCAUGAGUCUGGCUGCUCUUCUCUGGCUCAGCACAUUUGUGUUUUUCUUGAGAGACAGUGACCAGCACUAUCCUCAGUAUCCCAGGAACGGAUAUACUACAGCUUCAGGUCAGGGUGAAUAUGUACGAAAUGACAAUCCAUUCCUGCGUGGAAGGCCAGCGCUCCAUCUUCACUAACACGAUAUAGUUGAAGAGCAUCAAGUAUCCGAUGUACGCCAGCUGUAAGGAAACACAAUACAGUGUUCUGGCUACGGAGACCCGGGAGCCCGGCCCUUGGGCAAGGCCGCUGCAUGGCAGAACAGAGCAAGCUGGGCACUUGAAAUGACUCUCAUCACAGACCAGAUCUGGGAGCCAGCUGGAUCCCUGCCUCCUUUCUUCUUGGAACAGAAGAGGACCCAACCUGGCCUUCUGGAAACUUGCUAAGAUAUGGAAGUGAACUUAUGUGGAAAUGAGGUGUGUUCCCUCUUUCAGAAACUUGGGAGUGUACACAGAAGGAGAUAUUUUUGGAAACCAGAGUGGGAAAUACUCUUAUAGGAAGGAACACAUCCGAAAGCAAAUGGGAGGUUUGAUCUAAAGUGAAUUUUACUGUUAAGCAUCUCUGGGGAGGGGACUUAAAAAUCUGGCAUUCCUCAUCUCCAUGCACUUCCUCGAGGCCUAGGCUUUGUAAACACACAGCUAUGGAUUUCUGGAAAUCAUUAUGUAAACACUAACAACAUGACUGGGGUGUCCAGUCCAAUGGGUUUGCUGAGUCUACCGUCAGCUGUGCAGAAGGGAGCCAGACACACAGGCUCCACUUCUCGGAGGCAUCUGAUACAAGGAGAGCAGUGUGUCCCAAGCUUCCUGGACUAUAAGACUCACUUGGGGAGCUUGUUAAACAUAUAGCCUCUUCAGCAACUCCUUGGAGAUUAGAUUUCAUGGGUCUGUGAUAGGGCCACGAUGUGCAUUUCUAACAAAAUUCUUUAUCAUCAAAGAAGUUUUGGAAAAAAAUACUGGGCCUUCUGUCUGGGGCAGUGGUUCUUAACCCUGGCUACUCAUUACAACCACCUGGGUCCUUUGAAAUAACCUGAAGCUUUGGUUGUGCCCAGACCAAUGAUGUCAGAAUCUCUGAGAAUAGAGAACCCAGGUACCUUAAAAAAAUUUUUUUUAAUAGAUAAAUAGGUGGAUUAAAUAGAACCCAGGUGUUGUUGUUUUUAAAGAGCUCCAGGCGAUCCCAAUGUGUAGUCAAGACUGAAAACCACUGUCCAAGGCAUUUGUGACUUAAAAGCAUCUUGGCCAACAAAUUGUCACAGCUGAAUAAAUGGGGACUAAGGGAAUCAAGAAAAUAAUGUUAAUGCUGAACAAUGAUCAGAAAAGAGAAGA